UACGUAGGGUGCAAGCGUUGUCCGGAAUUAUUGGGCGUAAAGAGCUCGUAGGCGGUUCGUCGCGUCGGCUGCGAAAUCCCGAGGCUCAACCUCGGGUCUGCAGUCGAUACGGGCGGACUGGAGUUCGGCAGGGGAGACUGGAAUUCCUGGUGUAGCGGUGAAAUGCGUAGAUAUCCGGAGGAAUACCAAAGGCGAAGGCAGUGUCCUGGCUGGCAUCUGACGCUGAGGCGCGAAAGCUAGGGGAGCGAACAGG
rnacentral:rRNA from 1 species